rnacentral:rRNA from 1 species
GAUGAACGCUGGCGGCGUGCCUAAUACAUGCAAGUCGAGCGAACAGACGAGGAGCUUGCUCCUCUGACGUUAGCGGCGGACGGGUGAGUAACACGUGGAUAACCUACCUAUAAGACUGGGAUAACUUCGGGAAACCGGAGCUAAUACCGGAUAAUAUAUUGAACCGCAUGGUUCAAUAGUGAAAGACGGUUUUGCUGUCACUUAUAGAUGGAUCCGCGCCGCAUUAGCUAGUUGGUAAGGUAACGGCUUACCAAGGCAACGAUGCGUAGCCGACCUGAGAGGGUGAUCGGCCACACUGGAACUGAGACACGGUCCAGACUCCUACGGGAGGCAGCAGUAGGGAGUCUUCCGCAAUGGGCGAAAGCUUGACGGAGCAACGCCGCGUGAGUGAUGAAGGUCUUCGGAUCGUAAAACUCUGUUAUUAGGGAAGAACAAAUGUGUAAGUAACUAUGCACGUCUUGACGGUACCUAAUCAGAAAGCCCCGGCUAACUAC